rnacentral:lncRNA from 1 species
UGAGAAGGUGAGACAUCAACCCUUCAGAUCCCCAAGGCCUUCCGAGACCCUUGAGGUAUUCUCAUAAAGCCCCAUCCAUCCCCAAAACAACCCUACCAGAUCUUCAGGAGUCCCCAAGAUCCCUUUGCCCCUCACAGGCACCCUUCUAACACAUGAAAACUGUCAAGAUCCCCCACCCUCAACCAAAUUCUGCUAUAUUCUGUCAAAAUUCUGAAAUGAAAACUGUUAAUUCUUCCCCGACACUAUUAUCUCUGACCCCCAGGCUGAUGUCUUUGCCUUCGGGAUUGUCCUCUGUGAGCUCAUCGCCCGAGUACCUGCAGACCCUGACUACCUACCACGCACUGAGGACUUUGGCCUGGAUGUGCCUGCUUUCCGAACUCUGGUGGGGGAUGACUGCCCACUGCCUUUCUUGCUCCUGGCCAUCCACUGCUGCAACCUGGAACCCAGCACCCGUGCCCCCUUCACCGAAAUUACCCA